CCUACGGGUGGCAGCAGUGGGGAAUAUUGCACAAUGGGGGAAACCCUGAUGCAGCGACGCCGCGUGAAGGAAGAAGGAUUUCGGGAUGUAAACUUCUAUCAGCAGGGAAGAAAAUGACGGUACCUGACUAAGAAGCCCCGGCUAACGACGUGCCAGCAGCCGCGGUAAUACGUAGGGGGCAAGCGUUAUCCGGAUUUACUGGGUGGAAAGGGAGCGUAGGCGGUUUAGCAAGUCAGAAGUGAAAGCCCGGGGCUCAACUCCGGGACUGCUUUUGAAACUGUUGAACGAGAUUGCAGGAGAGGUAAGUGGACUUCCUUUUGUAGCGGUGAACUGCGUCGAUCUUAGGAG
rnacentral:rRNA from 1 species